rnacentral:rRNA from 1 species
AAUUUUGGGCAAUGGGCGCAAGCCUGACCCAGCAACGCCGCGUGAGGGAGGAAAUCCUUCGGGAUGUAAACCUCGCAAGCAGGGGAAGAGUGCUUUCGACCUAAUACGUUGAAGGAGGGACGGUACCCUGCGUAAGCCACGGCUAACUACGUGCCCGCAGCCGCGGUAAUACGUAGGUGGCAAGCGUUGUUCGGAUUUACUGGGCGUAAAGGGCGCGUAGGCGGCGUGGUAAGUCAGUUGUGAAAUCUCCGAGCUUAACUCGGAACGGCCAACUGAUACUGCUGUGCUAGAGUGCAGAAGGGGCAAUCAGAAUUCUUGGUGUAGCGGUGAAAUGCGUAGAUAUCAAGAGGAAUACCUGAGGUGAAGACGGGUUGCUAGGCUGACACUGACGCUGAUGCGCGAAAGCCAGGGGAGCAAAC